rnacentral:rRNA from 1 species
GCACAAUGGGCGAAAGCCUGAUGCAGCCAUGCCGCGUGUAUGAAGAAGGCCUUCGGGUUGUAAAGUACUUUCAGUUGUGAGGAAGGGGGUAACGUUAAUAGCGUUAUCUCUUGACGUUAGCAACAGAAGAAGCACCGGCUAACUCCGUGCCAGCAGCCGCGGUAAUACGGAGGGUGCGAGCGUUAAUCGGAAUUACUGGGCGUAAAGCGCAUGCAGGUGGUUCAUUAAGUCAGAUGUGAAAGCCCGGGGCUCAACCUCGGAACUGCAUUUGAAACUGGUGAACUAGAGUGCUGUAGAGGGGGGUAGAAUUUCAGGUGUAGCGGUGAAAUGCGUAGAGAUCUGAAGGAAUACCAGUGGCGAAGGCGGCCCCCUGGACAGACACUGACACUCAGAUGCGAAAGCGUGGGGAGCAAACAGGAUUAGAUACCCCUGUAGUCCACGCCUAAACGAUGUUCAUUUGGAGGCUGACCCCUUGAGCCGUGGCUUUCGGAGCUAACGCGUUAAGUAGACCGCCUGGGGAGUACGGUCGCAAGAUUAAAACUCAAAUGAAUUGACGGGGGCCC